CCUACGGGCGACAGCAGUGAGGAAUAUUGGUCAAUGGGCGAGAGCCUGAACCAGCCAAGUCGCGUGAGGGAGUACUGCCCUAUGGGUUGUAAACCUCUUUUGUCGGGGAGCAAAAGCCGGACGUGUCCGGCUGUGAGAGUACCCGAAGAAAAAGCAUCGACUAACUCCGUGCCAGCAGCCGCGGUAAUACGGAGGAUGCGAGCGUUAUCCGGAUUUAUUGGGUUUAAAGGGUGCGCAGGCGGAUUUUUAAGUCAGCGGUAAAAUCGUGGGGCUCAACCCCAUCCAGCCGUUGAAACUGGGGAUCUAGAGUGUGCGAGAGGUAUGCGGAAGGCGUGGUGUAGCGGUGAAAUGCAUAGAUAUCACGAAGAACCCCGAUUGCGAAGGCAGCAUACCGGUGCACAACUGACGCUCAGGCACGAAAGCGUGGGUAUCGAACAGGAUUAGAUACCCCAGUAGUC
rnacentral:rRNA from 1 species